GAUGAAGAACGUAGCGAAAUGCGAUAAGUAAUGUGAAUUGCAGAGUUCAGUGAAUCAUCGAAUCUUUGAACGCACAUUGCGCCCGUCAGUAUUCUGACGGGCAUGCCUGUCCGAGCGUCAUUUCAACCCUCAAGCACAGCUUGGUGUUGGCGGAUUGCGUGCCCUCGCGGCGCUGCAACCGCCCAAAUACAGUGGCGGUCUCGCUGUAGCUUCCUCUGCGUAGUAGCACACCUCGCACUGGGAAACAGCGCGGCCACGCCGUUAAACCCCCAACUUCUGAACGUUUGACCUCGGAUCAGGUAGGAAUACCCGCUGAACUUAAGCAUAUCAAUAAGCGGAGGA
rnacentral:misc_RNA from 1 species